rnacentral:rRNA from 1 species
UACGUAGGGUGCAAGCGUUGUCCGGAAUUAUUGGGCGUAAAGGGCUCGUAGGCGGUUUGUCGCGUCGGGAGUGAAAACUCAGGGCUUAACCCUGAGCCUGCUUCCGAUACGGGCAGACUAGAGGUAUGCAGGGGAGAAUGGAAUUCCUGGUGUAGCGGUGAAAUGCGCAGAUAUCAGGAGGAACACCAAUUGCGAAGGCAGCUCGCUGGGACGUGACUGACGCUGAGACGCGAAAGCGUGGGGAGCAAACAGG